CUGGCAGAUCAGAAAUGUUCAGGCGAACGGCGGUUAUAUUUGUCCGUGGACCCAAGACUUCGUUGACGGGCAAAUAUCGAACACUGCAACAAGGGCUGUAGUGUGGAACGUUCUGCGCUGCUCUCGCCAACUGAAAAGAAUUCUGGUGUGCUGUAAAUGCCGACUGCACAAUAUGUGACUGGCCCGCGGCCGCUUUGAAGGUAAGAUUGUGUUCUCAUUAAUCUAUUUAUUGUACCUUUGUUUU